rnacentral:tRNA from 1 species
GGUCAGAUGGCCGAGCGGUCUAAGGCGCCACGCCAAGGUAGUAACCUUGAUUUCAACUCCACCAAAGAGUUCCGUGGUCUCGUAAGGGGCGCGAGUUCGAAUCUCACUCUGAUCA